AACGAACGCUGGCGGCAUGCCUAACACAUGCAAGUCGAACGAGACCUUCGGGUCUAGUGGCGCACGGGUGCGUAACGCGUGGGAAUCUGCCCUUCGGUUGGGAAUAACUGAGAGAAAUUUCAGCUAAUACCUUAUAAUAUCUUCGGACCAAAGAUUUAUCGCCGAGGGAUGAGCCCGCGUAGGAUUAGGUAGUUGGUGGGGUAAUGGCCUACCAAGCCGACGAUCCUUAGCUGGUCUGAGAGGAUGAUCAGCCACACUGGGACUGAGCCACGGCCGAGACUCCUACGGGAAGCAGCAGAGGGGAAUAUUGGCAAAUGGGCUGAAGCCUGAUCCAGCAAUGCCGGGUGAGUGAUGAAGGCCUUAGGGUUGUAAAGCUCUUUUACCCGGGAGGAUAAUGACAGUACCGGGAGAAUAAGCACCGGCUAACUCCGUG
rnacentral:rRNA from 1 species